rnacentral:rRNA from 1 species
GAUGAACGCUGACAGAAUGCUUAACACAUGCAAGUCAACUGUGGCGGACGGGUGAGUAACGCGUAAAGAACUUGCCUCACGGAUAGGGACAACAUUUGGAAACGAAUGCUAAUACCUGAUACUGUGAGAGAGCUUUGCGUCCCAUUAGCUAGUUGGAGAGGUAACGGCUCACAAAGGAGAUGAUGGGUAGCCGGCCUGAGAGGGUGAUCGGCCAAAAGGGGACUGGGAAACGGCCAUUAGUCCUACGGGAGGAAGCAGUGGGGAUUAUUGGACAAUGGACCAAAGUCUGAUCCAGAAAUUCUGUGUGCACGAUGAAGUUUUCGGAAUGUAAAGUGCUUUCAGUUGGGAAGCGGUACCAACAGAAGAAGUGACGGCUAACUACGUGCCAGCAGCCGCGGUAAUAC